GAGAGAAAAACUUGGCUGGACAUUGGAGGUGGGUAAUAUUAAUUAAAUUGUAAUCAUUGUCAUAAAUUAUUUUAUUAUAAAGAGCUAACUACAUGGUUUUAUAAUUAUAAUGCAUAAUAAAGAGGUGACUUUGGUUUAGAUAAUUUAUAGCUACACUCUUAGUUUUCCUAGUAUUUAUUAAAUUAUAACUUUGUCAUAAUUUUUUGUACUAAAUGCUAUUUCACAUGUCUCAAUUGUGUUGUAAAAUUGCUAGGGGAAUAGGGGUAAAAUGGACAAAUAAAAAAAAUCUAAUAGAACGUCACUUGUCACUUUCUAGUGAAAUUUAUUUUGAGACCAACUUUAUUAUAUUUAUUACAUAGAUAGAUAUAGAUAUAGAUGUUUUAUUCCUGCAGAAUGAUAUGGUAAUUCAGUUGCUCGACCUAUAUAUUCUCAUAUCCCUCUUGACAUGGUACUGGUGCAGGCAAUAGAGCUGGAGCUCAAA
rnacentral:misc_RNA from 1 species